rnacentral:rRNA from 1 species
CCUACGGGAGGCUGCAGUGGGGAAUCUUGGGCAAUGGGCGCAAGCCUGACCCAGCAACGCCGCGUGAAGGAAGAAGGCUUUCGGGUUGUAAACUUCUUUUUUCAGGGACGAAGCAAGUGACGGUACCUGCCGAAUAAGCCACGGCUAACUACGUGACAGAAGCCGCGGUAAUACGGAGGUGGCAAGCGUUUUCAGGAUUUAUUGUGUUAAAAGGGCGUGUAGGCGGGAAUGCAAGUCAGAUGUGAAAAUGAUGGUAUCAACCCAUAGCCUGCAUUUGAAACUGAAUUUCUUGAGUGCUGGAGAGGCAAUCGGAAUUCCGUGUGUAGCGGUGAAAUGCGUAGAUAUACGGAGGAACACCAGUGGCGAAGGCGGAUUGCUGGACAGUAACUGACGCUGAGGCGCGAAAGCGUGGGGAGCAAACAGGAUUAGAUACCCUUGUAGUC